CCAUUACAUGGGACCAAUCACACAUAUAUAACACACUUCCAUAGAAUUCAAUGUUACGGCUCAAUCAUUCAUAAUUUAAUUAGUAACAGAAAUUUCAACACAUAUUUUCAACAAUUAAAACAACUAAACAAAUACGACAUUAUAUAACUAUAUUGAUCAUAUAAGAUUUCUUACGCACAUCUGCCCUCACAUGAUCAACCUGCCAGUUCAAAUCCUAUAUACUCACCUGCAGUCCUGCUACAACAUGGAUUUGUAUUCCUCGAAAUCCUUGGUUACCUAUUAACCAAAUCCAUAUAAAUCAUCAAUAUUGAGACAUAUCGUCUUUUCUAAUUUUACUUUGCCUAAUAGUUCCCAAGCCAGUUCUUUUCACUUCCUUAUCAUUAUUUCAUCAUUACCUUACAAAAUAGUAACUUUUCUUAAACUUUUUAUGUUAUAUAACAUGACACAAAAACUAUCUCCAAAUCUUACCAAGUUUUAAUAUAUGCUUUAUAGCUGAGCCCAGAUACUAACAAAUUAAUAUGGACCCAAACAACCACCUUUUUCUUGACCUAAAAUAUUUUUAUAUAACUAUUAAUCAAACUAGAAAACUAAGAAAUAGUACCUUGAUGUAGCCCAAGGGUUAUUUUUCUUGCAUAGUAAAGAACCCAGUAUUAUUUAUCGAGAUUGGUCAAGUGGUAUUGAGUUAUAUUGAAUAUUGCAGAAAAAAGUGAAGAAAAAAAAAUCAGUAGAUAAGUAUGAGAAGAGGUGAGAAGAGUUGGCUCCUCGAUGUCAAUGUAAGGCCGAUGAAUUGCUAUCAAGUUUGGAUGACACCUUCAAGUUCAGCUCGGUUAUAUAUAUGAUCUUGCAGCAUUUGGUUCCCAGACCAGAAUUGGAGCAGAUUAAGCAAGAGAUGCAAGAUAAGGACUCGAUUGCAGGACAUGGAAAGGUAUCAAGAAGCAAUGGAUAGUAUUUUAUAAGGUUAAUAAUACGAGUUUGACUAGAACCGCUACCAUGAAGGCAAUAGCCAAAACUCAAAAAGAGUGCAGUGAAAGCGACUCAACGGGUGCAAGUCCCGGUCUCCGAAGGGUGCCCUGACCUUGGUGUGGGAGAAGUUCGAAUCAACAACAAGAAGUGAUGAUGGAAGUUACACUUAUAAUAUUUCUGAAGUACAAAGCCUAAAUUACAAGGCCUGCUUCAUUUAAAUUUAAUUUUGAUAGUUGUUGGACUAUGUAACUGUAUACAUGGAUGGUUUGUAACACACUUCAAAGGUUAUCUAAUGUUAUUUCAUUCCAAAAUUUGUUUUA